ensembl:misc_RNA
GCCCAGAAGACCGAGUGGCCCAGAGACUACGGGGAAGAGGGCGGGGCCAGGCGCGGCUCUGACAACCAUUGGAGGGCUUCGGGUUGGGCGGGCCGGAGACUACAUUUCCCAGGGAUCAACGCAGGCCGGAAAGGGAGCGCCUCAGGUGUAGGGCGCACGCGCACCAGCAGCCUGUGCCUAUAUAAGGGCGGU